UGGGGCGGCACAUCUGUUAAACCAUAACGCAGGUGUCCUAAGGGGGACUCAUGGAGAACAGAAAUCUCCAGUAGAACAAAAGGGUAAAAGUCCCCUUGAUUUUGAUUUUCAGUGUGAAUACAAACCAUGAAAGUGUGG
rnacentral:ncRNA from 1 species